rnacentral:rRNA from 1 species
UACGGAGGAUGCAAGCGUUAUCCGGAAUGAUUGGGCGCAAAGCGUCCGCAGGUGGUUGUGUGUGUCUAUUGUCAAAGCAUCAUGCUUAACAUGAUAAAGGCAGUAGAAACUACACGACUAGAGCGCGUUCGGGGCAGAGGGAAUUCCUGGUGUAGAGGUGAAAUGCGUAGAGAUCAGGAAGAACACCGGUAGGGAAAGCGCUCUGCUAGGCAGCAACUGACACUGAGGGACGAAAGCUAGGGGAGCGAAUGCG